UUUCUUUUAUCUGCCAGACAUUGCCAUUUCAAAUUCAUAAAAGUUUGUGUGUUCCAACUAUAUGUAAAGCCGCAUUCACUUAGCGUGUUUGUAUGUGAUCUACAUGUAACCGUAAAUACCGAUCACCGUUUAAAUGCAUCUGACAACUGAAAUCAUAAGUUAUAAACAAUUAUAGACUCUUCUCUACAACCAAGUUCAGCCCGGAAUGAUAUCAUUCUAUUUUGUAUGUAAAUGUCUACAGGAUAUCUCCCAAUGAUAAACGAUGGUGUAGAAGUUUAUAAAUGAAACAUCAAUUUACCAAAUUUAAAGUGGACUUCGAUAACUUAGCACCCAUUCAGUAAAUUGGUUAUAUAUCAUUUUAUCUAAUAACUCGUAUUCUGUUUUGAUUACAAUGCCAUGCAGCUCUGCCUAAUUUCAGGACCUCAGAGAAAGCCUUGUUUUCUUAUAUAUAUAUGGACUGUUUCGCUCUCGUAAAGAUCACUUUCCGGGUCAAUUCUAACCCUAAAUAAAUAAAGUAUUUACCCAUUCUAGUUCUAUUCCGUUCAAGGUAAAAAAUUAAAAAAAGGUUUCUCGGAAGAGUUCCUCUAGAAAACAAAAUAUAGCAUGACUUUUAUCGGCAAUAACUUUUAAUUUCUAUCCUGAAAAAUAAUUAAAAAAAAAAACGAUGUUGCUUUUAGAGAUCUACUGGUGAUUCUGUCAUAAGCACAGUAUCAUCAGCAUACACUAGCAACAAUAAUUUAGAUAGACCGGCAAAAAUAUAUUAACCCUAUUUAAAAAAAAAGAUUCCUAAAUUAAAUCAAAUCGAAAUUUAAAACUGUUUUCAAUUUAUUUUAAUCCAUUUCAAAUCAUUUUAAUACCAGUCAAAUAUAUUCCCUUGUUGUCAUUUAAGUUGGUUAAAGAUGUGAUUAAGCUACGCAAAACCAGUUAGCCACGAAAAGGUAAAUAAGUUAAAAAUACAAAUAUUAAAAAUGUUUUAAGUUGUUCAAUAUAUGCUUUCAAUUAGAAAGGUUGGUGAUAAGAGAUAUGAAAACUAGCGUCAUCGAAGUAAUUUUGCUAAAAAUAAUAAAACGAGAAUGCUGGUUACAAAUUUCAAAUGACUUUAGAUAUGCAUAAAGCGUUAGAAAUUGUUUUCUGCUCAUUUCAUUUGCAGUUUGAUAAAUAUGAAUUUGUUCUCAGUCUUGCCAAGUAAUAGACAUUACCUGAUUUUCGAAGGACAUGUUCAUAUAAUAUUCCAAAUGACAACGAUAAGAUAUUUUGAACGAAUAAUAAUUAUCUGGUUUUUUUUUAUUUGUAAGGUGUUAUCAUUAACUAUGGUGGUACUUAUGGAGAUUCAUUCAUAGUGGCAGGUAUGUACAACUUACAAUUUUUAAUGAGAGCAAAGAAAAAUAAGGCUUAUAAAUCUUUUUUACACAACUGUAAAUUUCAGAUGUAAUCUUUGUUUUUGAAGUUUUUACAUGACUUGUAUAUGAUAUUUUUAUGUAUUUCAGGUAUUUUAUUAAUUAUGGGAGGAUUUAGUUGUCUUUGUUGUACAAUGUGCCAAGGAUCAGUGGACACCAAAGAAAGUUUUGAUGACUUUGAAUUUACUGUAACAGCUGAUGAAAAUACGCAAACUAUUCUAGCUAGUAAUAAAACAGAUGAAAAUGAUAGUUUUUUGAUUGAAGAAAUAAAAAAUGUGAAUUUCGGUAUUAGGUUUAUAAACAAACAGUAAAACAUAAUAUAGAAUUACAUAAUAAAGAAUAUUUUACUGC
rnacentral:lncRNA from 1 species